rnacentral:rRNA from 1 species
UUUCGCAAUGCCCGAAAGGGUGACGAAGCGACGCCGCGUGGGUGAGGAAGGCCCUCGGGUUGUAAAGCCCUGUCAGGAGUUAAGAAAUGUAGAUUCGCUAAUAUCGGGUCUAUUUGACGAAGGCUCCAAAGGAAGUCACGGCUAACUCUGUGCCAGCAGCCGCGGUAAUACAGAGGUGGCAAGCGUUGUUCGGAAUUAUUGGGCGUAAAGAGCACGUAGGUGGGUUUGUAAGUCAGAUGUGAAAGCCUCCUGUUCAACGGGAGAAUUGCAUCUGAAACUACUGAUCUUGAGUGUAGGAGGGGAGAAUGGAACUUCUGGUGGAGCGGUGAAAUGCGUAGAUAUCAGAAGGAACGCCGGCGGCGAAAGCGAUUCUCUGGCCUAUUACUGACACUCAGUGUGCGAAAGCUAGGGGAGCAAACGGGAUUAGAUACCCCGGUAGUCCUAGCCGUAAACGAUGGGCACUAAGUAGAGGGGUUUU